UACGUAGGGACCAAGCGUUGUUCGGAUUUACUGGGCGUAAAGGGCGCGUAGGCGGCGCGGUAAGUCACUUGUGAAAUCUCUGAGCUUAACUCAGAACGGCCAAGUGAUACUGCAGUGCUAGAGUGUGGAAGGGGCAAUCGGAAUUCUUGGUGUAGCGGUGAAAUGCGUAGAUAUCAAGAGGAACACCUGAGGUGAAGGCCGAUUGCUGGGCCAUCACUGACGCUGAGGCGCGAAAGCAUGGGGAGCGAACAGG
rnacentral:rRNA from 1 species